rnacentral:rRNA from 1 species
UACGAAGGGGACUAGCGUUGUUCGGAAUCACUGGGCGUAAAGCGCACGUAGGCGGAUAUGUCAGUCAGGGGUGAAAUCCCGGGGCUCAACCUCGGAACUGCCUUUAAUACAGCAUGUCUUGAGUCCGAUAGAGGUGGGUGGAAUUCCUAGUGUAGAGGUGAAAUUCGUAGAUAUUAGGAAGAACACCGGUGGCGAAGGCGGCCCACUGGAUCGGUACUGACGCUGAGGUGCGAAAGCGUGGGGAGCAAACAGG